UACGUAGGGUGCGAGCGUUAAUCGGAAUUACUGGGCGUAAAGUGUGCGCAGGCGGCCGAGCAAGUCGAGUGUGAAAGCCCCGAGCUUAACUUGGGAACUGCGCUCGAAACUACUUGGCUAGAGUGUGGCAGAGGGAGGUGGAAUUCCACGUGUAGCGGUGAAAUGCGUAGAUAUCUGGAGGGAUACCGGUGGCGAAGGCGGCAUCCUGGACCGGCAGUUGACGCUGAGGAGCGGAAAGCCAGGGGAGCAAAGCGGG
rnacentral:rRNA from 1 species